ensembl:misc_RNA 7SK 7SK RNA
GACCAGGAGGGAUCUGACUGCAAAUCUGUCACUCAAUGGGUCUCUGGAGUGAAUUCUGCUGAUCUGGCUGGCUAAGUGGGUAUCCCUUCCUUCCCUCGUGGUUCCAUAUGUGUUCCCUCUUGAAACUGGAUACUCAUUUGAAGAGGGUAAACCUUUCUUCAGUUGGGAUCUCUUACUAGAAACGCCAAACAAGCUCUCAAUACAACUUAUUGAUCCAGAUAUAGGAGAGCAGGUAACACACAGUGCCCUUGGUCAUGCUGU